rnacentral:rRNA from 1 species
GACGGAGGAUGCAAGUGUUAUCCGGAAUCACUGGGCGUAAAGCGUCUGUAGGUUGUUUAAAAAGUCUGCAGUUAAAGGUUGAAGCUUAACUUCAGAAAUGCCGUAGAAACUUUUAAACUAGAGGAUGGUAGGGGUAGAGGGAAUUUCCAGUGGAGCGGUGAAAUGUGUAGAUAUUGGAAAGACCACCGAUGGCGAAGGCACUCUACUGGGCCAUGACUGACACUGAGAGACGAAAGCUAGGGGAGCAAAUGGG